rnacentral:rRNA from 1 species
UACAGAGGUGGCAAGCGUUGUUCGGAAUUACUGGGCGUAAAGGGCGCGUAGGCGGUUCGUUAAGUCCUGUGUGGAAUCCCCCGGCUCAACUGGGGAACUGCACAGGAAACUAGCGGGCUUGAGUUCGGGAGAGGGAAGCGGAAUUCCGGGUGUAGGCGGUGAAAUGGCGUAGAUAUCCGGAGGAACACCGGUGGCGAAGGCGGCUCCUGGACCGACACUGACGCUGAGGCGCGAAGCUAGGGGAGCAAACGGG